CACAAAGGAGGGCAUAACCCGGUCUCACCAAAUACCUGUUGAUUGAUUGGACAAAGGUGACCGCGAGUGGUUCUGGGACUUGGCUACGGGAACCAUGAAGGAGCGUUCCUGGCCAGCUGUUGGGAACUGCUCCUCUGCCCUGAGAUGGCUGGGCCGCUACUACUGCUUCCAGGGUAACCAAUUCCUGCGCUUCGACCCUGUCAGGGGAGAGGUGCCUCCCAGGUACCCGCGGGAUGUCCGAGACUACUUCAUGCCCUGCCCUGGCAGAGGUGAGAAAGCCCUAGCACUUGAGACCUGUCAGAAUUCAUCCACUUUCCCUGAGCUUGUGGAUCUCACGUGUCCUAGCUCUCACUUUAACUCUGUGUUGCGACACCUUGGCCCUUAAUCUAGCCCCAUUUCCAUUCUGGAUUUUCCCAUUGCCCUCAUAUGGGGAAACCCACACCCCACUAACCCCAGCCAUCUCUUCUACCUUGGACCUCACUCUGACCUCUGGCCUCCUUCUGUGUUCUCCUCACCCAUUUCUCUCUCCAGGCCAUGGACACAGGAAUGGGACUGGCCAUGGGAACAGUACCCACCAUGGCCCUGAGUAUAUGCGCUGUAGCCCACAUCUAGUCUUGUCUGCACUGACGUCUGACAACCAUGGUGCCACCUAUGCCUUCAGUGGGACCCACUACUGGCGUCUGGACACCAGCCGGGAUGGCUGGCAUAGCUGGCCCAUUGCUCAUCAGUGGCCCCAGGGUCCUUCAGCAGUGGAUGCUGCCUUUUCCUGGGAAGAAAAACUCUAUCUGGUCCAGGGCACCCAGGUAUAUGUCUUCCUGACAAAGGGAGGCUAUACCCUAGUAAGCGGUUAUCCGAAGCGGCUGGAGAAGGAAGUCGGGACCCCUCAUGGGAUUAUCCUGGACUCUGUGGAUGCGGCCUUUAUCUGCCCUGGGUCUUCUCGGCUCCAUAUCAUGGCAGGACGGCGGCUGUGGUGGCUGGACCUGAAGUCAGGAGCCCAAGCCACGUGGACAGAGCUUCCUUGGCCCCAUGAGAAGGUGGACGGAGCCUUGUGUAUGGAAAAGUCCCUUGGCCCUAACUCAUGUUCCGCCAAUGGUCCCGGCUUGUACCUCAUCCAUGGUCCCAAUUU
rnacentral:sRNA from 1 species